rnacentral:rRNA from 1 species
GCAGCUUGCUGGACUAUAACUGACGNUGAGGCACGAAAGCGUGGGGAUCAAACAGGAUUAGAUACCCUGGUAGNNNACGCCGUAAACGAUGANUGCUAGCUGUUAGCGAUAUACUGUUAGCGGCACAGAGAAAUCGUUAAGCAUUCCACCUGGGGAGUACGCCGGCAACGGUGAAACUCAAAGGAAUUGACGGGGGCCCGCACAAGCGGAGGAACAUGUGGUUUAAUUCGAUGAUACGCGAGGAACCUUACCUGGGCUUAAAUUGCAGUGGAAUAACGUGGAAACAUGUUAGCCUUCGGGCCGCUGUGAAGGUGCUGCAUGGUUGUCGUCAGCUCGUGCCGUGAGGUGUCGGCUUAAGUGCCAUAACGAGCGCAACCCUCAUCGAUAGUUACUAACAGGUUAAGCUGAGGACUCUAUCGAGACUGCCGACGUAAGUCGUGAGGAAGGUGGGGAUGACGUCAAAUCAGCACGGCCCUUACGUCCAGGGCUACACACGUGUUACAAUGGGGGGUACAAAGGGCAGCUACCUGGCGACAGGAUGCUAAUCUCAAAAACCUCUCUCAGUUCGGAUUGGAGUCUGCAACCCGACUCCAUGAAGCUGGAUUCGCUAGUAAUCGCGCAUCAGCCACGGCGCGGUGAAUACGUUCCCGGGCCUUGUACACACCGCCCGUCAAGCCAUGGGAGCCGGGGGGACCUGAAGUAUGCAACCGUAAGGAGCGUCCUAGGGUAAAACUGGUGACUGGGGCU